AUGCCGCCACCCAGGGCGAGCCGGCCGGCAGGGUGCAACGGCGGAUCUAUGCUACGGCUGCUCGCCGUCGCCUCCCUCUGCUUCGGUUGCUUCGUCGUCGGGCGCUGGGGGAGCGGCGUGCUCCGGCCGGAUUCCGGGAGGACGGCAGGAGCAGCGAUCUACGCCGGUGAUCUGGAGGGCUACCGCCAUGGGGGCGGCAGGCGGCGGCUGCUGGCCGGGGGCCCCGGCCCCGGGUCGCACCCGCCGCGGUGCACGUCCAAGUGCGGCAGCUGCAGACCGUGCGUGCCCGUGCACGUGUCCGUGCCGCCCGGCGUGCUGGUCACCACGGAGUACUACCCGGUGGCGUGGCGCUGCAAGUGCCGCGACCGCCUCUACAUGCCGUGA
rnacentral:rRNA from 1 species